UCCGGAGUGGCGCAAUGGCUUAGCGCAUUGGACUUUUAUGAGAUACCAUGGUAAAUCCAGGGGUUGGGGGUUCGAGUCCCCCCUUCGGAG